UAUUGCACAAUGGGCGCAAGCCUGAUGCAGCCAUGCCGCGUGUAUGAAGAAGGCCUUCGGGUUGUAAAGCACUUUCAGCGGGGAGGAAGGGACGAAGCUUAAUACGAUUCGUUAUUGACGUUACCAGUAGAAGAAGCACCGGCUAACUCCGUGCCAGCAGCCGCGGUAAUACGGAGGGUGCAAGCGUUAAUCGGAAUUACUGGGCGUAAAGCGCACGCAGGCGGUCUGUUAAGUCAGAUGUGAAAUCCCCGGGCUCAACCCGGGAACUGCAUUUGAAACUGGCAGGCUUGAGUCUCGUAGAGGGGGGUAGAAUUCCAGGUGUAGCGGUGAAAUGCGUAGAGAUCUGGAGGAAUACCGGUGGCGAAGGCGGCCCCCUGGACGAAGACUGACGCUCAGGUGCGAAAGCGUGGGGAGCAAACAG
rnacentral:rRNA from 1 species